GCAGAUUGCCUUUGUAUGAAAUGAGAAGAGGUGUGGUUUACCUGGAGCAUGUCUGGAGAUGACAGAACAGAAGGCCAGCUGUAGCAGGGGCAGCAUGGGAAUCCACACCGCUGAAAAGGCUGCCAUUGAAGCAAAACACUACACCCAAAAUGAGAAGGGAGAGUCUCUGUGUAAUGAAUCAACACGUCUGACCACAGAUCCUUUUUUCCCACUUCUGGUCCUGAUCUGCCGUGGGGGCGUGGCUUCAGCUGAAAUGGGCAUGGAAAUGAGUGACAGCUAAACAAAGAACCAUGUUGCCUUCAGGAAACCUAGAAAGUUUCAGGAGAUGGAGAGUCCUCCUCCUCCAGCUCAUUACACAGGAAAACAGAAGAGUGGAGGCUGUCCCUGUGUCCUCCUCUAAACUGUGUGUGUGUGUGUGCGUGCGCGCUCAGUUUAUUAAUCCACAUAACUAAAACUAAAGCAAAGGAACACACAAUUUAUUUUACAACUGUCGUUUGUGGUUAUGUAUAGAUCGUGUGCAUGUGGCGUCACGCUUAUUUCCCAAUAAUAUAAUUGUGGUCUCGUGCAGUAGGCUGGGUCCAACACGAGGAAGACAUGGUGAAGCAGAGCAGCAGAACUACAUUUCAGUUGUGAUCAUUUAGUGAGGCGGAUGUUACCUGUGCUAGAGAACCUUAAAGCCUGUUUGUUUUCACCCAACCUCCUCUUCGUCUGUCAUUUCUACUGAAUACAAAUACCAACUCCACUGCACUAGCUGACUGGAUGUAAAACAUGAAAUCCUAUUCAUGAACAAAAUGUACUACAUCAUCUCCCCUAAAGCAUAAAAAAUUGCUCAAAACGAUGUUGAUUUAAAAAGUCAUACAAGAAACAACAGAAAUAAAUGUUCAGAUAAAUGUUUAAUAAUGUAUAAAAUACAUUUCACUUUCAUUUCAAUAAAAAGCUCAUGUUGUGAAUUGCAGAUUGUAGAUAUACAUAUGAAUUCUUAAUAAAAAUGAAAAAGAAGUGAAAACCAAACUGCCCAAUGUAUUACACAUAACUCAUAUGAAAGUGGAUAUUUGGCUAUACUGUGAGAUUUCUUUCUCCACUUUUCAAGUGAACUUGAUAAAGCCUUUUUCUUGGUGUGCUUAUUUGUGAGUUAAUCUUU